AACUGUUUACUCUGAUCUGAGUGACUCUCAAAAAUGUAUGAUGCAGCCUCCCAUAAUUCGAUUAAACUCACAGUGUCAUAUUUUGAAAAAUAAUGUUUGAAAAAGUUUUUUGUGUGGUGUGCAUCAUUUCAAAAAUUGUCUCCUUAAAUGCAAUAUACACUCUUCUGUGUUUGUUUCUAAACCCAUUAUAGAUUCAGCCAUUUCAGACAGGCAAUUUCAGACAGGAAGGUGGAUGUUCUCCUUUAUUUUGCACCAGUCUGUCAAAUUUCCCCCAUGCAUUUGGUUUUGAGCAACACAUUUUUAUGGCUUGGAGCAAGUCCUCUCUGCAUUUCCUCAGGUGUGGGUGUCUUCAAGGAGGUGAUGGAUUCUUCUGCGGAAUAAAGACAAAUAUGUGUGUGUCUGAGACCUGUAAAAAUGGAUCUACCUACAUGUGUUUAAAUGACCAUGUCUUCUGGCAGUGUGACACUGGAUUUAUAGGUCUUUCCAGUUCACAUGAAAAUACUUCAGUGCAUCAUCCCUUUCAUCACAAUAGAAUUCCAUCAUCAUCAGGAGGAGCCUCCUGUUGUUCAUUUAAUAUAAAUGGGAAUACUUGUGAACUCAUUUGAUAAAAACAACAUCUACAUUCUAUUCCAGAUAUUUGAGACUAUCAGCUGAGAAAUUACUGAACAAAUUAUAUCCUUUUAAUUGUAUCAUAAUUAUUAUACUUUUAGUUAUAUAAUUUAUAUCUGUAGUGCUUAACAUAGUGCCUCUCAUAUAAUGGGCACUAAAUAAAUGAUUAUCGACUGAGCA
rnacentral:lncRNA from 1 species